UGGGCGCCGGCCGAAUGGCCCGGGUGACGUUCGUCGCGUCGGUCGCGUUUCGGCGUGACCGUUCGCGCCGAGCCCCGGUGCUCAUGGUCGGCUCGCCCGACGGCAAGAACCGUCGACGCGGCCCCGUCGCAGGCGGGGUCCCGUCGGUCGGCGACGUGUUUCGAGCUACUUUCCGACCCGUCUUGAAACACGGACCAAGGAGUCUAACGUGUGCGCGAGUCAACGGUGAUCUUACGAAAAACCACGUUUGGCGCAAUGAAAGUGAACCGUUUACGGUGCGGACGAUGGCCUAGCGACCGAACCCACCGGCGUUCAAAGUCGCGCUGGUCCGCAGUCCGGGGGCGUCUCCGCCAAGUCGGCUUCGGCCGGCUGGGGGCGCACCCUUAGCGCACACGUUGGUACCCGAAAGAUGGUGAACUAUGCCUGGCCAGGAUGAAGUCAGGGGAAACCCUGAUGGAGGUCCGCAGCGAUUCUGACGUGCAAAUCGAUCGUCUGAGCUGGGUAUAGGGGCGAAAGACUAAUCGAACCAUCUAGUAGCUGGUUCCAUCCGAAGUUUCCCUCAGGAUAGCUGGCGCCGAUGUGUCCCGCCCGUUCGCGGGCGUACGGACGCCGGUGGGACUCCGCGCUGUACGGCGCGGUAACAACACGCUCGUAACACGGAGGAUGUCUCAUACGGUAAAGCGAAUGAUUAGAGGACAUUGGGGCCGAAACGACCUCAACCUAUUCUCAAACUAUAAAUGAGUGAGAUCGCCGGCUUUACCUGGUACACCGCGUGAACCGCGUGCGAAGCCGGCGACGGAACCCUAGGCGCUUAGUGGGCCAUUUUUGGUAAGCAGAACUGGCGCUGCGGGAUGAACCGAACGCCGAGUUAAGGCGCCGAAAUCGACGCGUAUUCAGAGACCAUGAAAGGCGUUGGUUGCUGAUGACAGCAGGACGGUGGCCAUGGAAGUCGGAAUCCGCUAUAGGAGUGUGUAACAACU
rnacentral:ncRNA from 1 species